rnacentral:rRNA from 1 species
AUGUUGCUGAUGCACUGUCUCGUGUUCGUCAAGUGUAUACUAUUUCUGCCAUUUCCGUGUGUCAACCCAUUUGGAUGCAGGAGGUGCUCAACGCUUAUAAAACUGACUCUGUGGCCAUGGAGUUACUUGCACAGCUCGCUGUACAUAGUCCUGAUGCACAUUGGUCAUUCCCUGGACCAAGGACUGAUUCGCUACAAUGGUCGCCUCUGGAUACCCAACAACUCUGCCUUACAAACCAAAUUGAUUAGUGCGUUGCAUUCCAGCGCAGUUGGAGGUCAUUCUGGGGUCAGGGCUACCUACUGGCGGGUUUCCAACCUUUUUCAUUGGGUAGGACUGAAGAAACAGGUGGCGGACUGGGUUCGACAAUGCCAAGUUUGUCAGCAGGCAAAACAUGAAAGAACAGUGCCUGGUGGUCUGCUCCAACCCCUCCCAGUUCCUGACCGCCCAUGGAAAGACAUAACCAUGGAUUUCAUAGAUGGGUUACCCAAAUCAGAGGGAUUUGAGGUGAUUUUGGUGGUGGUCGAUCGUUUUACAAACCUACCACCCACAGACGGAUGGCCAAUCGGAGCGUGUAAACCAAUGCUUAGAGCAGUAUCUGCGGUGUGCUGUUCAUGA